rnacentral:piRNA from 2 species
UAAGUGCUCCAGAGUACAAACCCUACUGA